AUUGAACGCUGGCGGCAGGCCUAACACAUGCAAGUCGAACGAGUGGCGGACGGGUGAGUAAUGUCUGGGAAACUGCCCGAUGGCGGGGGAUAACUACUGGAAACGGUAGCUAAUACCGCAUACCAUCGGAUGUGCCCAGAUGGGCUUAGCUAGUAGGUGGGGUAACGGUUCACCUAGGCGACGAGCCCCAGCUGGUCUGAGAGGAUGACCACCCACACUGGAACUGAGACACGGUCCAGACGCCUACGGGAGGCAGCAGGGGGGAAUAUUGCACAAUGGGCGCAAGCCUGAUGCAGCCAUGCCGCGUGUGUGAAGAAGGCCUUCGGGUUGUAAAGCACUUUCAGCGGGGAGGCGUUACCAACAGAAUAAGCACCGGCUAACUUCGUGCCAGCAGCCGCGGUAAUUC
rnacentral:rRNA from 1 species